AGAAAAUGUGUCUUGUUUGUUGCUGCAUUCCCAGAACCUAGCAUUGGGCUUGCACGUAGUAUGUGUUCAAUAUUUGUUUUAAAAUAAAUUAAUGGAUAAUAUAUCACUCUGUGGUUCAUUGACUCAAUGAUUGUGCAGGGAUUGAGGUACUAUGGUAUGACUAGCCAGAAAAAUGUGACUAUAGAGGCUAUGCAGGUUGUUACAGGGGUACCAUUUACAUAAAUUCUACAAAGCUAUUGUUCUGAGAAAGACAUUCUUGGAAACUAUGAAUAAAUAGUUUUUUGCACACUAAUAAUUAUUUAUUCUUAAGAGUUGAUUUCAAUGACUAAAACAAUUGAAAUACUUAUAGUUUUUUUAAAAAUGUGGUAUUUUAAAUAGGACUCAGAGAUGUGACCUGUGUAAUGUUUCCUUUCUUCUUAUUUUUAAAAAUAAUCUAAGAUUUUGAAAUGGGACUUAGGGGGAAUGCUGGAAUGGUGGAUGUGUCUAAGUGGUCUAACCAAACUGUAAUCAUGACACUCCUCUCUGCCUGACCUUUUCACUCCCUACACUCAGUGGUGAGAUAAGAUUUGUCCUUGUGACUUCAGAAUGAUGAGGUUAUUAGGGAGGCUGUCUGGGUAAUUUACUAGAUAUCUGAUUUUGGGAAAGUCACUUAACCUCUUUGUGCCUUGGUUUUGUCCUCAAGGGCUGUUGUGAAGUUCAAGUGAAAUAAUAAAUAUUACAAUGCUUAGGGAACUGCAGAAGUUAUUUGAAUGUACAGUUUUAUACUUAUUGUUUGUGUGUGUUUGUCGGGGGAGGUGAAGUCGGGGGUUCCUUGCCUCUUCUCCCGUGUUUCUGAUCUUGCCUUCAGGUGAAGUCAUGCCUCAGACUGCCUUCUCCCACUUCCAGGAUUCCUCUAUGUUGAUAAGGGAGGAAGAUUUUCUGCUCAGAUGUGUCCACAGUCCUGGUGGGCACGAUUACAGUUCCUUCAAGGCAAAGGACUCGGCUCUCCUUGCUGCUCCAUCACAUCCUCACAGCACCUGAUCUAAACAGUAUACUGGAUUGGAAACCCGUUCAAUCUGACAUUUGCUGAGGAAUGGAGAAGGACCAUUGGUGAUUUCUCCAGGCUCACUCCUGUGCCCCUCCUUGCAUUGCAAGUGCUUUACAAGUCUUCCUGAUAGACCAGGAGCAUCCUGAGGUCUAGUAUCAAAUGGAACUCAUCUCCUAUCCUCAGGGCCUGGUACAGAAUGCUGGAUGUAGGAGGAGUUCAGUAAGUAUAUGCUAUAUAAAUGACAAAUGAAUGAGUGAAUAAAUAAGUAAAGGAAUGACUUGAUUCUUCCUCUACCACCAAUUCAGAAGACUUGGCUGAAAGGGUGGGAGAGGGAAUUAGGAUUCUGCAAAGAAGACCAUGAUUGAGUUUUGAGGAAAAAAUAAAAACUUCAGACAAAGAACUUUUUGUUUUUCUCCUGGUGCUCUCCCUUUUCUCUCCAACAGCCUCUUGUUCUUUUUGUGAUUGACACCCCUCACUAUACUAUACACAUCCUAUCUGUUUGGUUCCAUGUUAUAUUCUCAAAUGCUUUGUACAAUGCUUGGCACAUAACUGUAGCUCAAUGAGUGGAAACCCAGUCAACACACACACAUUGAACAUAUAUUCUGUAUCCCAGUUUUUGAGCUAGGUGUUGAGGGUACAGAUUGAAAGAUAAAAAAAUUUGGGCACUGUUCUCAAUUUGCUCAGCUUAAUGAGAAGAGGACAUAGGAAGGAGAGCCUCCUCCUCAGCUGGUUUAGCUUCUUAGUAUGCUCCUAACAAUGUAAAUGCUAGCCUAGAGGAAGUACAUUCAUUCACCCCUUUAUUAAUUCCAGUCUCCAUAGAUUUAUUUGAAAUCUCUUUGCAGGGCUUACAGAAUGUGUCUGUUAAAAUUCCAGAAGGAAAGCAGACUCAAACUGGGCAAUUAAAGAAAAAUUGAAGGAUUUAUUUAUAAAGGUAUAGGGAUGUUGUAUGGAAACCCCAAGGAUAGUGCAAUGCCCUUGGGCAACAGCAGCUCCCUAUUUUUAACCUUGUGUGUGAGACACAAUGGGAGGGAACAGUUAACAGAAUCUAGACACAGAACAUAUUAUGGAGAAGACCAUCUGGCAGGAGAUGUGCCCUUAUGCCAAGGAUGCAACAGCCUGAGAUGACUGCAAAGGAGCAAGGUUGACCUCACUUUCCUUCUCUCUGGUCUCCUACAGUGCUCUUCAUUGCUUGACUCACCUGGAAGUCAGGGAGGAAGCCCUUUGAUAAAGUCCAAACAGUUCAGGCUCUAAGGGCAUAGAGCUGGUGAUGAGGGGUUGGGCAUGGAUCUGGGAGAACAAAUGGGAGAUAGACACUUCAUUAUAUUAGAUAAGGAAAAAAAAAAAAAAGUGAAACAACAACCUGCACCCAUUCGACAACAUACACAUUUGGGAACAAGAAGAUGAGAAGAAGAGUAGAGGCAGCAUUAUAUUUCUGACUGUUUGUUUGGUUGCUGGGGUGUUAUUACUAAACCAAGUCAUCAAUAUCUCCUCUUCACGACUGUCUGAAAAUAUGCAGCUUUGCUGUUAGCAAGAUCGGACUUCACAGGGUGCCUAUGAAGUUGACCUCAAUGGCCUGACCUGCACUGGCCUUCUAUAGGCCACUUUUUAAUUCAAUUACCAGAUAAAGUGACUUGGAGCUCCUAUCCUGUCUAGAGUGGUCAGUCCAGUGCCCUCAUGAAGACUUAAGGGGAUUCAUGGCAUAGGUGACUAUGAUCUCCUAUAGUUUCUUGUUAUAAAUUUUGGCUUCUUGAUCAACCAGUUCACACUUAGGCCUCUUGGGACAUUGCCCCUGCCUCUCCCUACUCUGUCCCAUUUAUUGACAGGAGUUUUCUUCAUUCAAAGCAUCACUGAUGGAUGGCAGCUAUGUAUUAGACUUUUACUAAAAAUUUAGGGAUGACUACAGGGAUUAUAGCAGAGAACAGGAACUAGCCUAAAAUGUAAACUAGGUUACUAGACGUCUGAAAAACUGCCAGCCUCUCUACCCACAGCAAAUCCUCACUCGCUGUAUUUACGUUCAGGUUGUAUUUGCAGACAUGUUUUAUUAGAUCACUACUGCAAAAUUCCUAUUACUUUGUGUGUAGAACUUUUUUUUUUUAAAGUCCUUCUCAUCCAGAACAAUGUAGGAGGCCUUACUAUAGACAAAGUUUCCAUUUUUGUAAACAGUUGAAAGUCUCUGAAUUUUAUUCUUAAAAAAAAAAAGCAAUCUAGCUGUCAUACUAAGAACAGGAAUCUGAUUGCAUAAGUUUGACAUCAAAUUAUUACUAUAUUACUACUACGAUUGCUAUUAAGAUUACUGAUGUUAUAAACAUAAAACAAUUGGGCAGUUUUGUGCCACCUUAGCUUAGAGGCCUAAGCACAUGCUCUGAUCCCUGAUCUGAAGCAGUUUGGGGUGGGCAACAGAGUGGAACUGUGGAUGUCACAGAUAUGUCACACACAUGAAUCUACUUGGAGUGAUUUCCUUAGAAGGGGCUGUGAGGACGGCAUAUAUUCACAUUUUCAAUCUGUACUCCAGUUGGGUAUGGCUGGUCUUCAAGAGGAUGAAACCAAUAUCCUGACUAAGGGCUCAGUAGUCUGCUUAAUAAAUGGAUGGAGGAAAUCUACUCAGUGGCAUAAUUGUGCUUUUCCACACUUGAAAUAAUCUCAAAUACAUGAGAUUAUUUAUGAGUUUGUGUGCACUUGUUCCUGACGAAUCAGAAUAAAUUCUUCAAAGUAUUCCCGGUAGACAGCAGGAGUUUGUGCUCUGCAUUUUGAAAUCUUCCAUGGAGACUGGAAGAAUACCUAGUACACUAUGGACACCUAACUCGCUAAGUGAAUAAACGGAACAAAUGAUCCGACAGACGAUAUCACGGGACUUUGGAAUGCUCACCUUAAUGCUCAACUUGGUUAAUUCUUACUUAUUCCUGUACAUCUUAGCCCCUUAUAAUCUAUGUCAUUAUACUCAUUAGAUUUUCCACUUGCACUCUAUCUUCCCAUCACAUUUGCAAUUGCAUUGUUUGAAUUGUAUUGUUUGAAUAUGUAUUUGUACAUGUGUUUGUGAUUAUUGAUUGAACUUCUUUAUUCUUCUCUAUACUUUAGGCUUCCCUGAGGGGAGGCUGUGUCUGUGUUACCUGCUCUUUUUAAAGGAAUGGUUCAGUGCCUGGAAAGGAGAAGGUAUUUAUGACAGAGAUGGAAUAAUAUUCACAAAACCCAUUUCCUCUUUAUCACCACCAUGAGUCAGGCUACACUUCCUAGUCUCAGUUGCAGUUAAGUAUGGCCAUUUGUUGGAGUUCCAGCCAAUGGGAUGUGAGGGGCAGUAACAUGAGCCACCCCCAAGGCUUACUCUUUAAAACCUCCCAUGUGCGAUUUUCUAUGCUCUUUCCUCCUGCCUCUGGCUUGUGGAAGCAAGUACAGUGGCAUUGGAAACCACAUAUUGAAGGUAGGGAAGCCAUGAGAUGGAAGGAACCUGGGUCCCUGAAUGAUCCUGUGGAAGAAAGCCAUCACCAAUCAGGAUUACCUGUUGAGAACUACCCUUGAAGAAGAAAUGUUUAUGGGAUUUGAGUUUUCUUAUAUUUUGAGUUUGGAGAGAGUUACCUCAACUCAUACAGUAUUAAUUUUUGUGUUGUAAUUAUUAGAUAUAUACAGAGGAGCAAAUAUUCAGGAUGCAGAUCGUGUCAUUAGAAAUAUUGAGUCCUGAUAUAUUAUGGCAAUCUUCAAGGCACUAGAAGGAAAAUGGUUCCAUAAGAAUGAGGUGGUAUCCCAGCUAUCCAGUACUCCCUCCUCCACACUGCAGUUAACAGAGGCUUGUCCCACUUCGUACCCAUGCAAAUACUCUCUUCUCUAACACACCUAAUUUCCCUAGUGCUCUCCAUCCUCAAAUGGUCCUGUAUUCCUUUUUGUGCCAUUGAAAAAUCCAACACUUUACCAGGCAGGAAUGAUCUUUUGAAACCAAUUUGUAUUAAGGAGUAAAGUACUAUUUUCUGCUUUACUUUCACAGGGAGUGUAUGCAUUUCUAGGGAGACUGGCAAAAAUUAGUCUCUCAUUGCUGAUAUUUCAGGAGUAGUGUAAAAUGAAGCAAGCAUUAUUAAGCAGUAACAGGCAGUUUACAGUCUAAUCAUCAUGAACUGUUUGCAUUACUCCACUCAGAAUAGCAGAGAAGACUGAUGGAGGAAGCUUGAGGUCUUGAUAAGACAUAGAACAGCCUUGCCAGCCCAGAUGCCAACUUCUGAACUUCUUGAUUGAAAGAAUAUCAUUCCUAACUGAAAUGGUUGCCAAUGUUUCCCCAUGACAAUGUACUUCCUCCAGAAUCAUGGAUGUCAGGGGAAUAAGAAGAGAGAGUGCAAAUUCAGAGGUUAUGGGGCCAGGAGUACCAUAGAGAUACUUAAUAGUGGGUUAACUCUGAUAAAGGUACAAGGAAUAAGGUGGUCUGGCAACUGCAAAGUAAUCUACUCACCAAGAACAUGGCUUUGCAGAGGAAUGGAAUGAAGAGGUCUGUAUAAAGUGUGUGACUUCCAAACCAAAGUUUAGUUAAGACUUAGAUAAGUAUAGCACCAUGUUACUCUCAUAAGUCCCAGACUCCCUGCCUCACCCUCAUCACCUGUGGCCUGACUAAGGAUUUUAGUUCUCAAGUACACUUAGAUUUAGCGCUUAACCCUUCAUUUCAAGAAGGUUGGUUGGGAUCUGAGGCCAUCAGAUCCUGCCAUCCCUUCUUCUUACGGAGCUAGAUUCAGACAGACCUCUUUGAUGCACAGUAAGACCCUUACAUGACAAUGACGUAUCCCUUCCUAAAAGGCCCUGAAUCUGUUCUCCACCUUUGAGACUCUUCCCUAGCCCCGUUUCUUUAUACAGCCCUUCAUGGCACCCCUCCUUCAUGGCCUGCACAUGCCUUACUCAUUUCCACAUCCCCUGGGCUCAGCGUGUGGCUUGGCACACAUAAAGUGCUCAGUCUGUAUAGACUGACUACAUACAAUGACUUAGUAAUUUGCUGAACUGGCUCCAUCCUGGAAAAAAGACCAACUCUUGCUGCUCUAAUUAUUUUCCCUGCUUCUCAUUGGCUUAAGUUUAUGGCUACAUAAUCAAAGCUACUCAGGACUGGAACAAGAGAUAGAUGCAACUCUUCCCAACAGAGGGAAUGAAAGAAUGGGACAUGUCAAACAUAACAAGAUGCAGAGGGAAAGAAACAAGAACCUCCUGUUAUUACCAAACAUUUUGGGUAUUGGACCUUUUUCCUAAAGGGAAAUUGAGCUAGGAGAACUCUACACCAGGAAGAUGAGAUAGUUGUUUAUAUUGGAGAGGACUGAAGAGAGUAAAAUAGAUGGCUUUAAAUCUAACAUUUUGACAUAUAUUGAUCAAAACAUGGUUAAAUAAAUCCUAACAAUAACAUUUCAAUGGUAAUUAUAUUCAUGAUGAUUACUAUAACCGUCAUUACUGUCACUACCUCCUUUGCUACCACUAUCACCACCAUUUCUUGGACAUCUAUUAUCUGGGACUAAGCUUUGUGAUUUUGCCAACAUUACCUCACUUGAUCCUAUAAAUUUGAGAGAGAGACAAAGAGACAGACAGAGAGAGAGAGAGAGAGAGAGAGAGAAAGAGAGAGAGAGAGAAUCUCUUUUGCUCCAGGAUCUAUUUUCAAGGGAAUCCAGCCUAAGAUGUCAAGCCUUAUGUUAGGCUAAGGAUAUGUUAGCCUAUCUAAAUUGGGAUAUUUGAGCUACCUGACAAAAAUGAGUAUA